GAACGAAGUGCCUUUGAAAGAGGAUUCGUCCAAUUGAUAAGGUUACUUAGUGGCGGACGGGUGAGUAACGCGUGAGGAACCUGCCUUGGAGUGGGGAAUAACACAGUGAAAAUUGUGCUAAUACCGCAUAAUGCAGUUGGGCCGCAUGGCUCUGACUGCCAAAGAUUUAUCGCUCUGAGAUGGCCUCGCGUCUGAUUAGCUAGUUGGUGGGGUAACGGCCCACCAAGGCGACGAUCAGUAGCCGGACUGAGAGGUUGGCCGGCCACAUUGGGACUGAGACACGGCCCAGACUCCUACGGGAGGCAGCAGUGGGGAAUAUUGGGCAAUGGGCGCAAGCCUGACCCAGCAACGCCGCGUGAAGGAAGAAGGCUUUCGGGUUGUAAACUUCUUUUCUUAGGGACGAAGCAAGUGACGGUACCUAAGGAAUAAGCCACGGCUAACUACGUGCCAGCAGCCGCGGUAAUACGUAGGUGGCAAGCGUUAUCCGGAUUUACUGGGUGUAAAGGGCGUGUAGGCGGGAUUGCAAGUCAGAUGUGAAAACCACGGGCUCAACCUGUGGCCUGCAUUUGAAACUGUAGUUCUUGAGUACUGGAGAGGCAGACGGAAUUCCUAGUGUAGCGGUGAAAUGCGUAGAUAUUAGGAGGAACACCAGUGGCGAAGGCGGU
rnacentral:rRNA from 1 species